rnacentral:lncRNA from 1 species
CCCUCUCAGCGUUUUGCUUUUUUAGCCGUCCAUUUUGAUGAUCGGGUCAUUUCUAGCCGUCGGAUGUGAUGUAUACCGUCACCUCCAGCACACUUUUUCAUCAUCGGCCCGACUGUCCUAAUGGGCCGCUGCUCCGGUGGCCGAAACCGUGUUAUCUGGUAAAAUGGACCUAUUUUCUCAGCCCAUCCAGGGUCACAAAAAUUCAUAUUUUUCAUACGUUAUCUAUAAAAUAUAUGCAACUACACAAAUGAAACAUACAUAAUUAAACAAAUAAAUUUAUAUUACCUGUUUCAACACCAUCCAUUCACGCUAAAUUUAUUCGAACAACAAACCU